GGCUGCCGGGCAUUCCAGGGCUGGGAGAGCAGCAACUCUCAACUGAUGUAUGUGGAACUCUGGGUGCGCCUAUUGCCCCUGUUGUAGGUGUCGCACAUCCGUUGCUUCACAUCCAGCAGGAGGUAGUCCCGUCCAGCAGAGCUUCAAGUGAACAUAUUUCUCCUGCUGUAGGUGUCACGCAUUC